rnacentral:lncRNA from 1 species
UGGUUCUCCAAUGCGGCAAAAAAUAAUUGGUGAAAAAUAUUUAAAAAUAUGGAUGAAUAGGGUGUAAUUUUUUUUAUUUUUUAUUUUUAUCGUUAUACAUAUUUACAACACCUUAAUAAAGUGUGUUCUUUAAUUCAUUGUUUAUGUAAUGGAGGAUGAACUGAACAGUGGAUCAAAUGUUGACUUUAUUUUAGCCCUUUAAUAUCUUUGAUGGGUGGUCUUCAAAGCUUAACGGCUUGAUGGUAGUACUUAUUAUUCAGCAAUUAU